rnacentral:rRNA from 1 species
GACGAACGCUGGCGGCGUGCUUAACACAUGCAAGUCGAACGGAAAGGCCCUGCUUUUGUGGGGUGCUCGAGUGGCGAACGGGUGAGUAACACGUGAGUAACCUGCCCUUGACUUUGGGAUAACUUCAGGAAACUGGGGCUAAUACCGGAUAGGAGCUCCUGCUGCAUGGUGGGGGUUGGAAAGUUUCGGCGGUUGGGGAUGGACUCGCGGCUUAUCAGCUUGUUGGUGGGGUAGUGGCUUACCAAGGCUUUGACGGGUAGCCGGCCUGAGAGGGUGACCGGCCACAUUGGGACUGAGAUACGGCCCAGACUCCUACGGGAGGCAGCAGUGGGGAGUAUGGCACAAUGGGCGGAAGCCUGAUGCAGCAACGCCGCGUGCGGGAUGACGGCCUUCGGGUUGUAAACCGCUUUCGCCUGUGACGAAGCGUGAGUGACGGUAAUGGGUAAAGAAGCACCGGCUAACUACGUG